UCUGGAGUUAAGGGUAUGCCAGUAGCUGUGCUCCCUUGCUAGAACCUGCAAACAAGCUCUCCUUGGAGCCUUGUGAGAGACUUUGAAGCCUAGGAGCCCAGC
rnacentral:sRNA from 1 species